rnacentral:rRNA from 1 species
CAGUACCGGUAAUACGAAGGGGGCUAGCGUUGUUCGGAAUUACUGGGCGUAAAGCGCACGUAGGCGGAUAUUUAAGUCAGGGGUGAAAUCCCGCAGCUCAACUGCGGAACUGCCUUUGAUACUGGGUAUCUUGAGUAUGGAAGAGGUUAGUGGAAUUGCGAGUGUAGAGGUGAAAUUCGUAGAUAUUCGCAGGAACACCAGUGGCGAAGGCGGCUAACUGGUCCAUAACUGACGCUGAGGUGCGAAAGCGUGGGGAGCAAACAGGAUUAGAUACCCGUGUAGUCCCUGUCUCUUAUACACA